rnacentral:lncRNA from 1 species
CUUAAGAAAUUUGGUCCCCCAAAUUUGCCUCUUACUCUUGAUCGAACAAAUGGAGAUACUAGGCUCUAAAGUCUGAUUCUAGCUCCCAGGUAGCCUCCCUUGGCGAGUGGUUCUGCCACACUACCUUUACAAAUGAUAUUUCUCGGUUGCGGAGUAUCCUGCUCUUUCGGUCCGUGAUACCGACUGGUACUUCCUCAUA